CCAAUCCUUGUCUGGGAGAGCAAAAUGCGCAAUGAACGUCUAGUGAGGGCAUUGCUGCUAACACCCCCCACACUCAUUUAACAACCCAUCUUCUAGAAAUUUUGCAACG